rnacentral:lncRNA from 1 species
UCCAAGCUCAUUUUUCAGGGGAGGUUGGGUAUGAUGAGCUGAGCAGCAGCCCUAGCAGUGGAACCUGACAAGUUUAAGUUAAUUACACUCACUUGCACCACCUCACCUCACAUGUAAUGCACAUAACCAGCCAGGUAGUGGUACAAACAUUAGUUACCCAUAUAUACUUACCAAAUCAUUAUAGUUAUACAUGUUAUUAUAAACUACUAGCCGGCUCUCCAUUGCUGUCAUCAUCAUCAUGAUCAUCGACGACGACUGCACGUGAUGGGUGUCUUUGUUUUCUCCUCCAUGUCCCUUUCCCUGUGACUGUGAGUGGCGACCAACGCCUCCCUGAGUGGCCGAGUCCACAAGUAGCGCUGAUCAUAUUUUGGCGCCAAGCCCAUAACAUGGUGGUAAAUUUAACUCAGAAUGUCUGUCUGUCUGUAAAUUUAAUUAGGGAUGCAGCCAUGAUCGGUCGACAUGUGCUUGUGGGGCAGCGGCAACAUGCUGCGCCGUGUGGUGGCGGCAGGAGGGAGUAGCACGCCGGGGCAGAAAUCACAUAUUUGACCUGAGGGCCAAAUCAAAUCAUAAACUGACCUUGUUCCGAAAAAAUUUCACUUUGCUGAUCCUUUCGUGUGGCGCCACACACUACUAUGCAGCGCCUCUCUCUUGGGCGUCGCACCUCAUGCCAGCGUGGCAGCCCUGGUCCAGUUGCGGCCCCACAGACAGCACUGCAGCGCCUCAGACUUAGGCGCCACACUUGUAAUGUGCAGCGCCUAGCUCUUGGGCGCUGCACAGUCUGUGUUCCACUUAGGCUGGCCCCACCCUCUCUCCCAUCCCACCCCACACACCCCACCCCACACAAACCCUUAGCCUUGCGCCCCUCCUCUCUUCCCCUCUCCCCCCCCUCUCAAAUCCUUCUCAAAUCUUGCAAAUCCGAAGUAUUUGACCGUGGAUUUCGAAGCCAACCCCUCCCUUAAGGUAAUCUCCUUCGAUCCCCUCGUUUUCAUCCAUAGGAAUUGUCACAUUUGCUCAAAUAUUGCUACUUUGGGGAAACCCUAGUUUUGGCUUGGAUUUGCAAAUUUGUAUUGAAUCAUGUUAUGUUUCUUUGCUAAUUUGGGUUGGUUAGGCUUUCAUAGUAUGCUAGGGUUAGGGUUAUGUGUGUUUGAUGUUGGUGUUAGGGUUAUGCUAUGGUUAGGGUUGUGGUUAUUGUUAAGUGGGGGUUAGGGUUAUUAAUUCAUAUAUAUGUUAUGGCAUAUGUAUUUUGUGCAAAUAUUUUUUGUUAAGUACUUACUUGAUAUAUGUGUGUUUUUUAUUAUUGUAGGGAUGGGGAGAACAUGUGUUUAUGUUCAUCAUGUGGAUAAAGAGGCCUUUUUGAAAGGCAAUGUUGAGCCGGACCCGGAUGAGCUUGACAUGAUGUUUGAGAGUAGUCCAAGCUAUGCGGAGCUCUUGGACCAAGUGAGGAAGGAUUUGAAUUGGAUGGACCCAAGUGACGUUGUUGAGUUCGAGGGAAGGCAUAAUGUUGGUUUUGGAAUGCACAUCCGUUGGAAGACAAUGCGUGUGAACUCCGAGCAACGUUGGGUUGCAUACAAGGAGACGGUUGCCGAAUCUCUAGACAAGGCUCUUGAGUUAUUUGCCUCCAAGAAGGUUGAGUCUACUUUGAAUUUGGACUUGAACAGGAACCCCUCCCUGUUGGUUGCUAGCACUCCACCACCCAUGAACCAAGAUCAAAUGAGUGAACCUCAUUUCACGCAACAAGAUUGGCCAACAUUGAGCCCGACUCCAAACAACCAAAAUGAAGGUUUUGAAGAGGAGAAUGAUGAGUACGAGGAGGAUGACAACGAAGUUGAUCUCCAUGACAACAAUGUGGGUGAUCUCGACCAAUAUCAUGUGCAAGAGACAAUGGACCAAUCCAUCCCUUUUUCCCGUGCAUAUGCAUCGGACUCGGAUGACGAUGGUCCCGAUGAAGAAGUUGAUGAGGAGGGGUUCACACCGAAGGAGGCCCAAGCAUUCAAGAAGGUAUUCGGGCGGGAUCACAAGACACCAUUGUUCAAGGAUCUUAGUCUCGCGGAUGAAGCCGUUGUGGAUGGUGGCAAAUGCAUAUCUCUUGGAGCUAGGCCAAGUUCUCACCGGGAUUUGGAAGACGGCAAGAACGGGAUAUAUCCCGGUUGUGAGUUUCAAUCCUUCUUGGAAUUGAAUAUGUGGCUCGACAACUACUCGGUUACGCAUUAUCGUCCACAUAAAGUGGCCAACUCGGACGUCAAUGUGUGUUACACGGUCAAAUGUGAAGUGCCAAGUUGUCCAUGGAUUGUGCGUGCAAGGCCAUGGAAAGGAGGUCCCACUUGGCGCAUAGUGAGUUGUCUACCAAAUCACAUGUGCCAGCACAAGAAUGCGGAUGGCAAGCUUGUGUACCAACAACAUAGACAACUCACGUCCGAGUUCAUCGCUUAUAGGCUUUCCAACCAAAUAUCCACACUUCCAACAAUGAGCAUCAAGAGUGUCAUUGACCUUGUGAAAGCCAUCUUUCAUUACAAGGUAAAGUACGGCAAGGCAUGGAAGGCAAAGCAAGCCGCAUUCAAGAUGUUGUAUGGCAAUUGGGAGGAAGCAUACAACCGACUCCCUAGGUUGUUGUUAGCUAUGGCCACCACAAACCCAGGCAUGGUUCACGUGGUUGAGCCUCAUGGGCACCAAACAUUGAUUCACAACGGGAGGACCGUCCGAGUAUUUGGCCGUGCAUUUUGGGCCUUUGAGCAAUGCAUGAGGGCUUUUGAGCAUUGUCGGCCCGUCAUCGCCAUUGAUGGCACGUUCUUGACCGGACAAUACAAGGGCACUUUAUUGGUUGCAAUAGCAAGUGAUGCCAAUAACCGGGUGUUGCCUUUGGCUUUCGCUUUGGUUGAGGUGGAGAACAAUGAUAACUGGGAGUGGUUCUUGCGUCAAUUGAGAACAAGGGUAUUACCGGCUGAAAGGGAAAUUUGUGUCAUAUCGGAUCGCCAUCCAGGAAUUCUAAAUGCGGUGGUGGUUGACAUUCCCAGACAUAGAAAGUUGCACCAUCGAUGGUGCAUGAGGCACUUUUGUGCAAACUUCUAUAGGGCAUGUGGUAUCAAGGAGUUGGCCGAUGAUCUUCAAGAUUGUUGUCUCGCUUUCACCAACAAGCGGUUUGCCACAUUGUUCAAUGCAUUGCUCAGACACAAGAAACUUGACCCCGGUGGUCAUGAAUUUCUCAGUAAGAACAUUGUCGAAAGGAACAUGUGGGCAAGUGCUUUCGAUGAAGAUGGCCGGAGGUACGGUCAAAUGACAAGCAAUAUGGCAGAAUGCUUCAAUAAGGUGCUCAAGGGUGUACGUGCUUUACCCGUGACGGCAAUAGUUCAAUACACAUUUGACAAGAUGAAUGGAUACUUUUUGAAGUAUUCAAUGGAGACGAAUAAGAAGAUUGCUGAUGAGAACAAGGAUAAGAACAAGUACUAUUUCCCACCAAAGGUUGAAGAAUGAUUGGACUUUCAAUCACGAAAGACAGACUCCCAAGAAGCUGUACUAUAUGACGACAACGAGUGGAAGUAUGAGGUGAAAGAGCCUGGAGGAACCACAAACGAUGGCCACCAACACGGAGGCCGCGCUUUCAAGGUCUCCCUAACACGGUGUGAUUGCAGCUGCAUGAGGCCAUCGUUGCUUCAUAUCCCAUGCUCGCACUUGUUAAAUGCAGCCCGUGUUAGGAAUGUGGACGUCAAUCACCCUCUUACCGUGAGGGAGUCCGAGUUCUCAAUCAUGACGGUAAAGAAUACAUGGGCUCCCCGGUUUCAGCCAUACUUGGACCAAUCACAAUGGCUGGAGUAUCAUGGAGUUCAACUAUGGCCGGACCCGGAAUUGAAGGUCGUUAGACGGGGAAGACGUAAGAUAAAGCGUCUUAGAGGUGACAUGGACGGAUGGGGCCGUGGUGGUGGUGGAGAAUACGGCACCGGCCAAUUCCAAGAGCCUCGUGAGCAAUCCUGUUGUGGGGACUGCAGUCAUGGGGGACACAACACAAGAACUUGUCCCAAAUCAAGAAAAAGAUCAAAGAAAAAUGAUGCAAGCACAAGCCAAGUAAAUGAUAGCCAACCAAGUCAACCAAGGAGUAGCCAACCAAGUCAAACAAGCCAACGAGGCACUAGGCAACAAAGAGGUCGUGGUGGUGGUAGAGGCCGUGGUGGUGGUAGAGGCCAUGGUGAUGGCCUAGGCCGUGGGGAUGGUCUUGGCCGUGGUGAAGGCCUAGGCCGUGGUGAUGGUCUAGGCCGUGGUGGUGGUGGUAGAGACCAUGGUGAUGGUCUUGGCCGUGGUGAAGGCCUAGGCCGUGGUGAUGGUCUUGGCCGUGGUGGUGGCAGAGGCCGUGGUGGUGGUCUAGGCCGUGGUGGCGGUAGAGGACAUGGUGGCGGUAGAGGCCGUAGUGGUGGUCUAGGCCGUGGUGGUGGUAGAGGCUGUGGUGGUGAUCUUGGCCUUGGCGGCGGCCGUUGUGGAGGAAUGUUCACUUGGCUCAAUGGACCAUUGCCGUAUGUGACUUACUAUGAUCUUGUUCUUUUGGCUCAAUGCUUGUGUUGUCAUUUUGCAUUGUGUGACUAACUAUUAUAUUGACAUUUUCAUAGGUAUGGAAACAAUGAAGGGGGUGGAGGACACGGAGGCGAAAGGUGAGCUCCCUUGGUGGUCNNNNNNNNNNNNNNNNNNNNNNNNNNNNNNNNNNNNNNNNNNNNNNNNNNNNNNNNNNNNNNNNNNNNNNNNNNNNNNNNNNNNNNNNNNNNNNNNNNNNNNNNNNNNNNNNNNNNNNNNNNNNNNNNNNNNNNNNNNNNNNNNNNNNNNNNNNNNNNNNNNNNNNNNNNNNNNNNNNNNNNNNNNNNNNNNNNNNNNNNNNNNNNNNNNNNNNNNNNNNNNNNNNNNNNNNNNNNNNNNNNNNNNNNNNNNNNNNNNNNNNNNNNNNNNNNNNNNNNNNNNNNNNNNNNNNNNNNNNNNNNNNNNNNNNNNNNNNNNNNNNNNNNNNNNNNNNNNNNNNNNNNNNNNNNNNNNNNNNNNNNNNNNNNNNNNNNNNNNNNNNNNNNNNNNNNNNNNNNNNNNNNNNNNNNNNNNNNNNNNNNNNNNNNNNNNNNNNNNNNNNNNNNNNNNNNNNNNNNNNNNNNNNNNNNNNNNNNNNNNNNNNNNNNNNNNNNNNNNNNNNNNNNNAGAAGAAGAAGAAGAAGAAGAAGAAGAAGAAGAAGAAGAAGAAGAAGAAGAAGAAGAAGAAGAAGAAGAAGAAGAAGAAGAAGAAGAAGAAGAAGAAGAAGAAGAAGAAGAAGAAGAAGAAGAAGAAGAAGAAGAAGAAGAAGAAGAAGAAGAAGAAGAAGAAGAAGAAGAAGAAGAAGAGAGGAAGAAGAAGGGACAAGGACCAUGACCUUUUCUAUGAACCAAAAUAUGUGCUACUAUGUGAUAUGAGACGUAAAUGACUAUGUCUUUUUGGCUAAUUGUUUGUGUAUGAGUAUGUGAUUUGGACUACUACAUGUGAUCUGGAUAUGAUUAUGUGCCAUCUAUGUGAAUCACAAAACAUAAAAAUCACUUUGUAUAUGAAAACAGCAGAUAGUGCAACGCCUAAGGCCGAGGCGCUGCACAUUACAGUGCAGCGCCCCUCCCAAAAUUUUGCUAAGUCAGUCCGCAGCGCCUAAGGGAGGGGCGCUGCACUGUAAUGUGCAGCGCCUCACGCCUGGGCGCUGCACAGUACAGAGCAGCGCCUAUCCCUUGAGCGUUGCACACUCACUUAGCAUUUUUUUUGGGCAGAAAACAUACUGGAAGCUUCUGUUGCUCUCUGGACUGGGAUGUCCAGUAGUGCAGCGCCUAAAGGGAGAGGCGCCACACACCAUAGUGCAGCGCCUACCCUUUAGGCGCUGCACUACUGGACAUCUAUUUGCUGCACUCACCUCCCUCCCACCCAUCCCCACCCCACACACCCCCACCCCCACACAAACCCGAAGCUCAGUGCCUCCCCUCUGCCCUCCUCUCCCCCCUCUCAAACCCUCCUCAGAUCCGGAGUAUUUGACCGUGGAUUUCGAAGCCAAACCCUCCCUUAAGGUAAUCUCCUCCGUUCCCCUCGUUUUCGUCCAUAGGAAUUGUCACAUUUGCUCAAAUCUUGCUACUUUGGGGAAACCCUAGUUUUGGCUUGGAUUUGCAAAUAUUUGUUGAAUGAUGUUAAGUUUCUUUGCUAAUUUGGGUUGGUUAGGCUUUCAUGGUAUGCUAGGGUUAGGGGUAUGUGUGUUUGAUGUUGGUGUUAGGGUUAUGCUAUGGUUAGGAUUGUGGUUAUUGUUAAGUGGGGGUUAGGGCUAACCAAGAAUUAUCAGUUUUAUAGGCAUGGCUUCAUCCGGUUCCAUGACGAGGCCACUGUGUGCUAACCAAGAAGACAUGCCGAACAAGUGGGAGGACGCAUCUUUGGACAAGGUGAAGGAGAAAGAUGCCAACAUCCCGCCAUGUUGGUGUGGAGAUGUUUGCAAGGUGAAGGUAUCCACCGACCGAAAUAAAUCAUGGACGGAAGGGCGGAGAUAUUUUGUAUGCCCGAACUAUGCUUAUGAUCGUGCACUUCCAACUAACGCCUAUGACCAACCACCGGUAAGCUCGAGAAGUAAAAUGUUACUAUCAAAUGUGUGUCAACACUAACAAAAAUUUUAUAUGCAGUCACCGCCUCCUCUAUGCAAGUACUUCACGUGGAUAGAUCUUGAAGUGCCAGAAGAUGUCAAAAAGGACCAAUACCAAGAUUGUCUUAGGCGGCAACGGCGGUUCGAAGAAUCGUUUCGAAGAGGCUUGGAGGAAGAGCGUCGUCAGAAGGAGAGGAUGGAGCGGAAGAAACGAGAGGAGGAGAGGGCACGCCAAGCGAAACUUGCUCGUGAGGAGGAGAGGGCAAGAAAGCUUGCAAAGGCUCGCGAGGCGCAAGAGAAGGACUCGGCCCGUGACAAGAAGGGGAAAUGGCCUCGCUCUACUCAGUAGGGACUUCACUUCGGUGCACUCGUCGUGAAUUUGUGAGGGCAUGUGAGAUGUUGGUGAACUAUCUUCUAGGGCAAGCUGCCAUUUGUCAUUUGUAAUGAAUGUGUCGUGAACCAUGUCGUAGUAAUGUUUGAAUUGUCUUAAGUUAUGAACUCAUUGGCAUAAAAUUUUUGUUUGUUCAAAUUGUUGUGAUGAUGCAGUCAUUGUAAGUAUUAUGAUGUUCCGGUGAAAUGAAUGUACUGUCAACUCUGUUUUUGCAGUAAACAACCGUGCAACGCCCAAAACAAAGGCGCUGCACUGUUCUAUGCAGCGCCGAACGGACGGACAUCACACUGUAAAGUGCAGCGCCUUGCUCUGGGGCGCUGCACUAUGACUUGGUAAUUUUCGUGGAUCUUGAGUGCUCAAAGCCUUCUGUGGCCCUAUGGGCAGCCAUGGCCAGUGAAGCAGUGCCUAUGGGACGGGCGCUGCACUGUGAGGUGCAGCGCCUAGGCUUUGGGCGCUGCAUAGUACAGUGCAGCGCCUGACUGUCAGGCGCUGCAGUGCUGUUAACUGCCAAACUACAGAAACAAAUUCCAUUUUGGCAAAUACAAAUACUGAACAAUUCAACUGAACAAAGACAACAUCAUUUAGGACAAAUACUGAACAAAGACAACUAAUAAUUUGAACAUCACAUCAUUUAGGACAAUUCAACGUUACUACUAGUUCGGAAACACAAAUACCACAAUAGUAAGAGUUCACCAACAUAUAACAUAACCCAACAAGUUCAUCAACCUAACGAAGCGGCUACAAGAGAGCACUUCCAUAGUAACACACACUAAUGCCUUCCGCGCGUGUUCUUGGUGCCACGCCUGCAGGCAAUCUUCUUCUUCCUGGAUGGACGAGCCUCCUCUUCCUGCACUUCCUCCUCCGCCUCCGCCUCAUGAUCCAAGCUAGCCAUCCGCGAGGUCCCUACGACCACCUUUGGGUUGCCUCUGUUGUCAAAGUUGUUGGGCGUGUACCGGCAUCUGGGCUUCCUAGGCUUGAACACAUAUGGGGAUCGAAGUUGAGCGUCCGCCAAAGUCAUGUCAUCAUCAAGCUCAUCGCGCUAUCACACAAUCAAACAAUAUGGUGAAGACCGACGUCGUAAUCAAGUGAGAAUCACAUCUAAAGGAUUAGUCAUACCUCUUGGGUGACCGCACCCUCAUCAUCCUGAUAAGCAUAUGAGGAACUCACAUCGUCCCUCUGAUGGUGAGAUGAGAGGUCUGAUGGUGUACCAGACCUAGAGGCAGAUGGUUCAUCAAUUUCGGGAUCACGGCAACUGAGAAGAUUCGAUAACCGCCUUAACUUCCUGGCCUGACACUGUAACAUGAACAAGUGUGGAAGAUAUGAAACUCCGCAACAUAGACUACCUCUCAUAGUGAAUGCGAUUUGUACCUUGAGGAAUGCUCGUAGUGGACCAUCAUCAUUGCCUUUUCCAACCGGUGUUUCCUCCAGAAUAGACUGGCUCUCAUCAGCUGCUUUCUUGAUCUCGGUGCGCUGCGGAUGAGAAAGAAUGAACACGUUAGCCAUUCAAACAUGUGUAAUACGGCCAACGGGAAAGUAAAGAAGAAACACUUUACCACAUAGUUAAUCACCGGAACAGCAGAGACUCCGUGCCCUACCCUGACAUCUCUGUUGUACUUCCCCUUUGAUAGAUCCUCAAAGUUUACGGGUUCUUCAAGAAUAUCCUCAUUAUAUGCCGGCGGGCAUAUCUCAACUCGAGUAUUUUCAAGAAGCCAUCGUAUGUAGUUAUCAAAAGCAAGUGGACUAUGCUCACGAAGCUUGGCGCGUGCACUGCUACGAGCUUCCUCCACACAAAGCUGGAAGCGGGUAACAUACAAAGCAUGAUGCUUGUCCCAGUCCUUUAUCUUCCGCUGCCUUCUCCUGUCCAACCUGCAUGGUACAAAACCAAACAUUAGCAAAAUCAAGGAGUGACGAUGCUUAGUCAAUACGGUUCAUGUUGUCUUACCUAUGAAGUGCUUUGUCCGUAUCCACCCAUUCCGGCGGGUGAGGCUGGAACAGACCAAACUGACGACACACACGAUGUGGCAAAUGAAACUCAACAGCCCAGUUGCAUAUCAGUGGGCGCCGCAUACGCCAGAGAUCCCUAUCCCGCAAGCACAUCGAGUUGAUGGUAAACUCCGGGGUGUACCCAAGUCUGUCAUCGGCGCCAUAUGGCUGCCAUUCCACCUAUGAAAUAGGGCAACAAUGCAAAAUUGGUGAAUUUUUUCAGGCAAACAUGAGAAAUGACUGAAGUAAUGACCUCGUUACCUGCUCAGGCGUAAUCGUGUCCAACUCGGCAACGUACUUCUGGUACAUGAGAUUGACAUCGUUCGUCAUCUCGGAAACCACAUCCCACUUGUAAGCCCAAGUGGGCCGCCGUAAUUCGUCAUCUUCAUCUUCAUACCAAGGAUUAAACCUGACGCUUUUCGGGCGUCCAACAGGCAGACGCUCCCAGCUCCAUACAGAAAGUAGAAGCAUAUUACCGCCAAUGCCUGCACUAUCUGUGAUCCUGCAACACGCAUCGUCCAGCUGCAUAUGAAAGAAAAACAAUGUUAACUUGACAGCAAGCUUGCAUUGCUAAUGAAGAAAUGAGUUGAUCACAAAACAGACCAACUACCUGUCGGUACAAGUAGGCAAGAGUCGCUGAACCCCAGCUCCAUUUGCUAUCGAAGACGGUCAACGCCUUCAGCCACAUCCAUGGAGCGUUCUUGCCAGUGGAGUCAGGAAACAAAGUCCUCGACACAACAUACCACAUGUAGACACGAGCAUGUGUCUGGAUCACGUCAUCAGUGGCAUCCGGAGGGCACGUCGCAAAGUGAGUUUGAAUCCAUGUGAAAGCAGCUCCGGCUGCUUUCCUUUCCUUCUUCUUCUUCUUCUCUUCUCCCUCCUCUACAUCAGCCUCAGCCUCGGUAGGAGCCAUACCGAUAAGAGCAAUCAUCUGCUCGCGCCACCCAUCAGAAUCGGUGCUCAUACAGAGAGGCAUCCCGUCGAUAGCAAGACCGGUGAUCAACGAGACAUCCUCGAGCCUCACGGUCAUCUCCCCAGUCCGAAGAUGGAAACUAUGCGUCUCCGGCCUCCACCGAUCAGCAAGAGCGGACACCAGUGGAGCGUUUAGAUUCGGCGUGGACCGACUGACCAACUGAAUCCACGGGAGUAGUCCUGCCUGCUUGAUGUACGGUGUGUACCGCUCAUCGUAAGGCAUGGCAGGACCAGAGACCCCGUGAUACCGAAUCUUCAAAGGUUCAAGCUUCUGCAAAAAACAAGUAAUGACAAAUCUUAGGGCAUGUAAAUUUCAACUUAAGGCAAAAUAUUUAGAUUACUCGUUAUUACCACCUCCUUCUCGCGCAUCAUGUAGGCCCGGUGUUUCGUGUCGUAGACAUCGUCGAGAAGCCAAACAUCCUUACAAAGUUCAAACAAUAAACAUAUAUGAGUUCAUCUUCAUCUCAAAUAUCGGUAUACACUAAACAUCUAAUAUGUGUUCAAUUACAAGAAUCUCAACAUCUCCUUCUCACACAAUGAAUAUGUCAUAUGUGUUCAAAUAAACUCAACAUCUAAUAUAUAUCUAAAAAAACAGAUCAUAUAUCUCUACAAAACUCAACAUCUCAUUGUUAUCUAUAUAAAUAGGCAUCUCAUAUAUAUAUAUAUACACACAUAUAUAUACACACAUAUAUAUAUACAUAUAUACAUAUACAUAUAUAUAUAUAUGUAUAUGUAUAUAUAUAUAUAUGUAUAUAUAUAUAUAUAAACAAAACAAUCUAUGAUUUCACUAACAAGAACUAUAUAUUGUGAACUAAGCAACAACACUACGGUACUACCACUAUGACUACACAUCCUAAAUCAAGCAAAUCAAGGGUUCCAUCAAAUCUUGGACAAAUCUCUAAAAUGGCAACAAAUUUACGGAGGAAAAGAAAGGAAACGGAGGAGUUUACCUAGUAGGAUGGAUUGGAGAUCGAAUCCACAGAUCAAAUCUUCAGAUCUGAGAGGGAUGUGGGGGGAUUCGAUGGGGGCGCCGCCGCUGCUCUCUGUUCAGAGAGCGGAGAGGGGGAAGAACUGCCUGGCCGGGUUGGGCCGAUGCGCUUUAACUCAUUGUGCAGCGCCCAAGAGCUAGGCGCUGCACAUUACAAGUGUGGCGCCUAAGUCCGAGGCGCUGCAGUGUUGUCUGUGGGGCCGCAACUGGACCAGGGCUGCCACGCUGGCACGAGGUGCGACGCCCAAAAGAGAGGCAAUGCAUAGUAGUGUGUGGCGCCCAGCUGUCGGGCGCCACACGAAAGGGUCAGCAGAGUGAAUUUUUUUUAAAACAAGGUCAGUUUAUGAUUUGAUUUAGAUCUCAGGUCAAAUAUGUGAUUUCUGCCGUACACCGGCGCCGGAGCGCUUUUGCUUGCCUGCCGCUGCCGGUGCUGGUCGAGGUUGACCCUACUAACAUGCGCCUAGGCGUUUUGCCUGCGCCUCUCUGCUGCGGUUGUGUAUUUAUUUUAGCACUGCUGCUAUUAUACUGUGCAACACUUCUCUUUCUGCCGCUGCUGCUGCUGCUUCUGGUAAAGUAUGAUGGUCAGACACUAGGAGACGAUCAAAGCGACAUUGAGCAUGGCCAUAAUGUUCGCCCUCACGCCCCCGUUUGCUUUUCUUUUUCAUCGUUUUAGAAAAGAUCCGGAUCUAUAAUAAAUUAUAAAGGUUACCAGAAGUACGAACCAUCCCAAUCAUGAAAAGAAAAUUACGUCAAGAUCUCUGGACCACGGAACUGUCGCCAAAACAAGCCACUCGCGCGGUGCUGUCGCUGCUUCCAUACCGGAGCCGGCCGACCUUGUUAAUGACGGGCGAAAGAGGUUUCGUGUAUGUGCCCCCAAGGACCGGCCCUGGAGCCUCGGUCAUUGUUUUUGCCUCCUUGACUCGGUUUGAAAAAUCUGGCACCAAAUCUCACCGUCACGCCCCGUUUGCGUCUAUUUAAAGCGACAUUGAACAUGGCCAUAAUAUUCGCCCUCAUGCCCCCGUCUGCUUUUUUAAUUGUAAUAAAUGUUACCAUAAGUAUGAACCAUCCCACUCGUGGAAAAAGUUACGUCGAGAUCUCUAGACCAUGGAACUGCCCCCAAAACAAGCCACUUACACGGUGAUGCCACUGCUUCCAUAUUGGAGCCGGCCGACCUUGUUGAUGAUGAGCGAGAGAGGUCUCAUGCUUGUAUCCUAAGGAGUGGCCCCGGAGCCGCAGUCGUUUUUUGACUUCUUGACUCGGUUUGAAAAAUAUGGCACCAAACCUCACCGUCACGCCUAUUUACCCUUGUCCGAUCAUCAUCUCCCGUGAAGUGACUAGCAGCCGUUAAAUCCGAAAUUCUAGCCGGCCUUGUCCUUCCCUUUUCAUCCCGUUCAAUUUACCAUGCAUGCAUGCAUGGCCAAAAGCCAGCGGAGUUCUGAGCCUCUGAUCGUCUCGUCAUGUUUACGUGGACCUGGAGACCGGGAGCUGCUGCUCUACUUCAUCGUGCUUGCUUGCGCACGGUGUGUAUGGUAUGGACAAGAGGGACGCGCCACCAACCUAUCCAUAGACGUGGGUGGUCAUGCUAGAAAUAUAUAUCAUGUAAUGUAUUACAAGCAAAAUGUCCGCACUUUCUCCAUCUAGGUUUACUAGCUUGCUCUCCAAUGACCUCUCUGAUCCUCAUCGCAAAAAGAAAAUGACCUCUCUGAUCCAGGCAGUGGCGAAGCCACCCCAAAAAAUUCAAUUGGGCCAUCGCUAAUUUUUUUGAAAAAUAAAUCUUCACAAUAUACAAUAAGUGUAUGGUGUUCUUAGGUUAUUUUUCUCAAAAGUUAUGGAGUCAACUGACCCCACGGCUUACACAUAGAAACGCCACCGGAUCCAGGGAUGAUGACCAUAUGAUAAUCAAGGGUGAAAAAACAAGAUCAAUGAUUUUGGCUGGCUGUUGUACUCCCUCUGGUUCUUUUUAGUUUGCAUAUAAGAUUUGACUCAAGUCAAGCCUCGUAAAGUUUGACCAAUUUUAUAAAAAAAAAGUACCAACAUUCGCAACCUGAAAUCAAUAUCAAUAGAUGUGUCAUGACUUAAAAUUUCAUAUUAUAUAACUUUAGCAUGGCAGAUAUUGAUAUAUUUUUCAUAUAAAUACGGUCAAACUUUGUGAAGUUUGACUUCAGAAAAUUCUAAUAUGCAGAGCAAAAAAGGACCGGAGGGAGUACCUUUAUAGGUUGAACACUUGAUCAAAUCUUCACCACAAGAACUUGAUUGCGGAUCAAAGUUUCCCAAGAUGCUCAUUGUCAUCCGUUGUGUGGACAGCGGGACGGGUAUGUAAAUAUGCUUUCGCCCCGCUUUAUAGGUAAAGCCAAAUUCGUUCCGAGCUAUUAUAUUUCUAUUUCUAUUUCUAUUUCUAUUUCUAAGGAGAGCAUUGCAUGUGACAAAAUAACGUAAAACAUUCCCGAAGCUGCUACCAGCUAUGGCCGCCCUAAUCUCUAGAGCGGAAGACAAACUCUGCAAAAGCACCCCAAUCACACACCCAACAACCAAAUCCUCAACAGCAGCUUCAGCCUGCUUGACUGAACAAAAUGGACGCGCGCUAGCUUUGUUUAGGCUUAGCAAUUGCCAGCGCCCGGCAGCGUGGCGCCACGAGCUAAACUACAAACAACACUGUACUAGUAUGAAUUUUUAUUAUUUCUGGCGUUCGUUAUAUUGCCAUGAUCGAAGAUGAAUAGAUUAAAAGUUUCUCGAGAAAAAAGACAUACGGCUGACGAGAAGUUCCCCACACGACACGACAGUGUCACACGCAAAUGAGCCUCCAGGACUGAUGUGGAAAGAUGAGGGCAUCUCCAGCCGUUGGCCCCCCAGGGGGCGUCUAAAAGCGCCGCCUGGGGGUGAGCCGGCGCAAAAAAUGGCCCUGGGGGCGAGUCGGUCCCCAGCCGUCGGCCCCUAGGGCCGUCCCCAGGCGCGUAUUAAAAUAAAAAAAGAAGGACCGUUCGGCGAAGUUAUGAUAAAAACUAGUUAAAUUUCGGCCAAACAUGACAAAUUUCGAUGAAAUUCGCGCAUUUUCAUUACAUUAACCUAAUCUAAAAAAGAAAGGGGCUGAAGUCGUCGCCGCCAUCGUCGUCGUCGGCCUUCUCCUCCUUGACGCAGGCGCCCCUGCUGGACCCCUGCCCGGCGUCGCCAUGGCGAACUGGCGGCGGCGCGUCGUCGUCGUGGUCGCUGUUGCAUAAGACGACGACCCCGUCUUCAUCGCGGCCGCGUCGGCGCUCCUCGAAGCGGCGUAGGGCGGCACGCUGGCGCUCCUUCUCCUUCUUCCGGCGUGCCUUCUCCAUCGCAAUGGAGUCCUGGCACGCCCAUUCUAGGGCCGCGUCGUCGUCGUCGAACUCCGCCUUCACCGGCGCCACCCCGGCUCCAUCUUUGGCUUGACGAAACGCGGAGGAGCCGACGAGGAGGAGGCGCGCCGGCCGCCCUCGUUGAUGACGAUGCCGACGCUGCUAGUGCGCCGACCGAUUGGCGUCUCCGCCGCGGGCUAUGCCUUGACGCCGAGAAGCGCCGGAGAACCGGAGGAGUGGGAAGAUGAGCGAGAGGAGGAAGACGAGGAGGAGGCGAACCUCCUUGGCGCCCAUCCCCGUCGCAGGAUAGGUCAACGGCGGGUUGUUGCCGCCGUCGAGAUACGCCAGCAUGCCAUCCAGCGUGCGGCCGGGGACGCCCCACCACAGGCGGCGCCCCUCGCUGUUCUUCACGCCGCCGACCCCCGGCGCGCCGUUGGUGGAGGCCAGGCGCUGCUGCUGGCGGCGCUGGAAGUACGCCGCCCAAGCCGCGUGAUUGCCGGCGGUGUACUAGGGGAGGGAGCGCUCGUCGUCGGUCAAGGAGGCGCGCGCGACCUCGACCUCCUCGGCGAAGUACCUGGGCUUCGCCACGGCGUUGGGUAACGGGGGAACGGGCACUCCCCCGUCGCUGAGCCGCCACCCCGUCGGCCCGACGCGCAUGUCCGGCGGCGCGCGGGAUGUUCGCCUGGAACAUGAGCCAGGAUUCCUGUUCGCGGAGCGAACGGCGGCCGAAGCCAUUCACCGCCGCCUCAUCUCUGGGGAAGCGCUCUGCCAUGGCGACGGGCUCGGCGGUGGUAGAGAGGGAGCGAGAGGGGCUGCCGGUGGCGCUCGGGAGAGGAAGACGGAGACGGAGAGAGAGGGGCUGGGCGGCGGCGAGGGGCGAGUCUGGUGUGGGCACAGGCGACCGCCGGCUUUUAUAGCCGCUCCGCGCCCGUGUGUACGCGUGCGAGGGAGGGGAGGCGUCGGCGCGCCGUCCCGUGACGCGCCGCCCGUGAGAAAUCAACGGCAAGGCUGACCGGCGGCAGCCUUGCCAUUGAUUCCCCACGGGAACCGAGGCAGUUGGGGGAAGACGAGCCGCCGUGUCCCUGACGCGGUUGGCCCGUGACUUUUUCGCGCCAAAACAGUUCGCCUCGGCGCCUCCGAGCGCGCCGGGUUCGGCCUGGGUCCGCCGGCGCUGUUUUCGGCCCAGGCCGGCGAAAAUCGGGCUCAUGAGGGCGCGACUGGGCCGUUUUUUCGAUGCCGACGCAAAAAACCGUCUGGGAGGCCUUCGUGGAGGCGCGGCUGGAGAUGCCCUGAUACUACUACUAGGAGGCAAUGACAUGAGCCUUUUUUUAUUCAAUGCCUACUAAGGCUGGUUGUAAUGGGAAGUAUCAUAUACUAGUAUAAUGCAUAUGAUACUAGUGUAUGAUACUACCUCCCUAAUGUAUAGUAUCGUAUAUUAGUAUCAUGUAGUACUCUAUUUAUUGUCAUGCAUGACACAAAGUAGCAUAUCAUUUAUUAUGAUACGGUAUCAUGAUAUGAUACUACACCAUUUUUUUAUUCAUUUAAUGCUAUGACACCUCAUCAAAAUUGCCUAGUUGGCAUGCGUGAUACUAGCUAUGAUACUAUCAUUACAACCAGCCUAAAAAAUAGACGUAUGGGGCUCAUACGGGGUGUCCUCCACCCGCAGACAAUCCUAGGCAUUGGCAUACGACCCUCCUAGCAUUGACUCAGUGGGAGGACUAUUUAUUUAUUGAAAAAAGGCGCUCCAAGUACACACUCGAGGCUACCACCGUAAAAAAGAUGGGUACUUUUCUCUAUGCGCUAAAUGCUUUUCCGCUCUCGGACCUCUCUACACGGACUAGUAGCAGCACUAGAGCGCAUCAGAUUGGUCCACCGCUCUGCUCGAGUGGGGGAAACUGACAGACGCCUACCCUAAAACUGAUGAAAUGUCCAGUGUUGCGGUUACACUCGAUAUUGUACGUAUUGCCUUCUCUGUGAAAUGGAUUAGGUUUACUGAGGCAAUCAUCACUAGUAGUACAUGCACAUGCACACGUACGAUGUCUCCCUUAGGCGGCGGCGGCAGCUAGGGUUUUGACCUCCUGGAGUAACUUGACACGGGAGAGGAAGAAUUCGAUGAUUUGGUAACCGAUGAGGAGGACCCGGUGAUCAAUGAGUGUGUGCUGGCUUGCCCGAGCACACAUGCAUAGUGAGAAAUCUUUCAGCCAGGCAGCAUUCUUCCGUGAUCAAAUUACGGCAGUAGAUGAGGCAAGAGGAGGCAAUAGAGGUGUGGCGGCCAUGAGGAGCACUCCAUCUGGUUGGGGUGCGGGUGUCGCCACACAUAGCUCCAAGGAUGGGGACGAUCCCAGAGGGAUACAACCACUAGUCCAUUCAAGAAUAACACUGCUAUGUUCCACGGAAAAUUUGGAGAGAUCAAAUUACGGCAGUAGAUCAUUUGGCUGUUUACAGUUGUAAUGAGUAUUGCAUGACUGUAUGGAUGAACAGAGAUCCUCCAUGUAUUGUACUGAGUAUUGCACGAGUGAAUGCAACCCUAUUGCAUUGUAAUGAAACCUCCCUUUCUUCUCGAAAAAAACUGAGAAAAAAAAGUCAAUCAUGUCCCAAAAAAACCGUUUGGAUUCGCCUAACGUUAGGUGGUCAACGUGCGGUGGAGAGCACAUGGACUCGAGUAGGCAAAGGAUUGUUUAUAUUCUCCAAACGUGGAUCAAUGGAUUGCUUUUCAUCACUGAAUCACCGCGUGCAAGGGAGAGAACCCCCCAGGAGGAAAAGUUUCCACAAGGAAAUAGCCCUGCAAAAUCUCUGCAAAAUUCCGAAACGAUCACCGGCCAAAGGAACACCGUGGGCUCGUGCACCUGCCGACCUCGAUCUCGCCAAUCACCACCGCACCGGCGCCACCAAUGGCCUCCCCGACGACACGCAUUAAAUGCCCGCCAUUGCCACCCACUCCGCCAAAAGCGCGCCUCGUACGUCACGCGCCCCCUCCCUCGUCACUCACCCGCCACAACCGCUCGCCGUCCGUCCGUCCGUCCACCGCCGUCUCACCCACCAGCUCAGUUCAACAGUAGUGCACUCCUCCCUCUGCCCGGCCGUGCCGUUUGACCUCGCGCUCGUCCCGUCCCUCUCCAUGGUCCAUGCUCCCUGCUCUGCCCUGACGCGCGCUGCACUGCACCGCACGUAGCCCUGCUGCCUGCCCGCCGAGGACGGCGACCUUCCCUUCCCCGCCUCUCCGGCUCUCCCCCCGCAGCAGUUACUCGCCUGUCCUGCGCAAAAAAGUUCUCUCUGAGCCCUCGCCCAUCCCCUGCUCGAUAAAAGUUCGCAAUGCAGCUCCAUGCCCGCCAUUAAUGCCCUCCCUUCCUUCCUCGGCAGCUCUCGCUCAGAGAUUCCCCCUCCGUCUCGCUCCCGCUGUUGCCCUUCUCGUGCGUGCUCGAUCUGCUCUGCUUCCGUCCCGCUGGGAGCUUUUCCCCGGGCUUGGAGCCAUCUGCUUGUCCUCGUGUUCCCCUGCCCGCCCACGCCCUCGCACCCGCACCCUGUCCAAAAAGUUUCAAUCUUGGAGCCACCCUCUUAUUGUUAUCCCCCCUACUCCUCCUCCUCCUCCUCCUCCCCAUCUCUCUCCUCUCUCAUCCAGCCACGCUUCCCCCUCGUUUGCUUGGCCCUUGCUGUCCUCCGCAACCGCGGCUCCAAUAAAAGCUCCUGCGCCGCAGCCGUCUCCACUUCAGUCGCCCACCUCCUGUGCGGCAAGCGGGAUUGAAUUUUGGCCGGAGCCUUCAGGUUCAGCCCUUCAGGUACCUCUAUCCAGCGCCUACCUAGCACCAGCGAUUUCUUCUUGGAGUAGCAGAAUUCCCUCUCUGCUCUCCUCUGAUUGCUCCAAGGAAAAUAAAAAUGCAGGUUCUGGAGGCGCGCGCCGGGUGAUUCCUCCAUUCUCGAAAGCUUCCGCCGUCUCGGAGGUAACCCCGCCCCGCUGUUUUCUUGCUCGCCGGGAAGCUACCAGAUUUUGGUGGCACCCGGCGAGCCAAUUCUGGCCAUGAUCUUGUAUUUUGUGCCGCCCGAUGGAUGGAUGGACGGAACAGCCGCAAGAGUCCAAACACCUUUUUCUUUGGAUGCUCUGCUAGUCCCCUCCGGCGCUGAUUUCGAGCCAGCCAGGCGAAUUGACGCUGGCUCCGCGAUCUUGCAGGUGUACAUUUUGGCAGUCUGCCAUUGCCGAGGGUGGGGGAGAGGUGCUUCGGUCUCGCCGGGGGGGAUGGAGGGCCGGGGGAGGCGGCCGCGGAGCCCGGAGCGGCAGAGGCCGCCGGCGAGGAAGGUGCCGGUGGUGUACUACCUCACGCGGAGCCGCCACCUCGAGCACCCGCACUUCGUCGAGGUGCCGGCGCCCUCCUCCUCCGAGGGGCUCUACCUCAGAGGUCAGUGCACGGACGGACGCCGCCACAUGGCCCCCGCGUGGAGCGCAAUCAGUCUGCUUGUACUGCAACUUGUGUAAUGGCGAUUGCUUGAUUGAUUGCUUGCUUGAUUGCUUUGGUGCGCAGAUGUGAUUCGGCACCUCAACAUGGUGCGCGGCAAGGGCAUGGCCUCCAUGUACUCCUGGUCCUGCAAGAGGUAAACCAACCAAGCAACCAAGCGAAAUUCUCUGAAUUUUCUGAACUCCAUGCACUCCAUGAGUUGUCUGAACUUUGGCGAGCUUGACAAAAAGUUUUCUGAAUUUUUGAACAGGAGCUACAAGAACGGAUUCGUGUGGCAUGAUCUCGCCGAGGACGACCUCGUCCUCCCUGCCACCGACGGCGAGUACGUGAUCAAGGGCUCCGAGAUCCUGGACCAACCUUCUUCAGGUAAUUUUUUUGGUUCCCUUCGAGCUGCCAUUUGCUCUUGUGAACAUUGCCUGGGAACUUGAGUGCUGAUUGGUGUUGCCAUACCAUCUUUUGCCCGUUUGUUUAAAUAUGCAGGUCAAUUUCACCAUGGCAGUAAUGGCAACCAGAAGCAGCAGAGCAGGCAGAAAGAGGGUAGUACAAGGUUGCCUCGGUCAAGGGAGGCCUCCUUCUCCUCCUCCCCACCUAGUGUGACAGUUAGAGAAGCCAAGCCUCGGCGCGUGCCUUCGGUGCCUUCGCGAGAGGAGGACGACUCCCCCUCGCCGUGCCGGGGCACCUCCUCGGAGACAAUGUCGCCGGAAUCGGAGCCUCAGAGGACUGUCAUGUCACGGCCGACGCCGGCAGAAUUCAGGGUUUUCAAGCCCACCGGUUUGAUGGAUGCCGCAACUCAAACCGAUGAUCUCGGGAGAAGGUCGGCUCGGAGAGUACCUGAGAUGCAUAAGAAGAGCCUGAGCACUGAUCAUGACGUCCGUGAGGUCACCGAGUACCGGCAGCAGAGCCAUCCUCGCCGGUCGGCCGAGCUCCAGGGGAUCUCCAGGGAUGUCAUGUCCCACUGUGCCACCCCACUGAGCAUGGCUUCAACCCAUGGAAAGUCCGAGAGCUUGGAGUCGUUGAUACGAGCCGACAACGCGUCAGCCAACAGCUUCAGGAUCCUGGAAGAGGACGACAUUGUCGUGCCGACCUGCCCGAAGCUGAGGCCGGCGAAUGUGCUGAUGCAGCUCAUCACCUGUGGUUCACUUUCAGUCAAGGAUCAUGACAACAUUGGGCUUGUUGGGGCUUACAAGCCAAGGUUCCCAAACUUGAAGUUCCCAUCGCCGCUGAUUUCUCGCUCCAUGAUGAUGGGUGAGCUCGAUUACCUAUCAGAGAACCCCAGAUUCAUUGGGACACGGAUUGAAGAUAAGGAGUAUUUUAGUGGGAGCAUUAUUGAGACCAAGACGCAGAGAGACGUUCCCACCGAGAGGCACUCGGUGCUUAAGCGGUCUUCUUCCUACAAUGCAGAAAGGUAAAAUUUCCAGUGCUUCCACAUUACAUUUCGGUUGUGCUUAAAUAACUUAGAAUUUAUAAUUUUUCCCUUCUGUGCUCAGAUAAUUUAAGGCUAUUUGUGUUACUUGGGCUAUGGCACUGGUUGAGAAAACAGCACAUUAGGUUCAGUGGCCAUUCAAAAUUUCUGGCUAAUUCUGUAGCGGUUUUGCUGUCUCAGAAAAUACUUGACAGCUUCAUACUUUACCUUGGUGUUUUUAGCAUGCCAACUUAGAUUUGAUUGAUUGGGUGCUUCAUUUUGCAAAAUCAUCUGUACUUUGUGGUCAUGAGAUGUUAGCGUUUGAAAUAUGGAUAUUGAAGCUGAACUUUUGCAGUGAUUGCUCAUUUAAGAGCAUUGAGUUGCGCAUAGAAAGGGGUGGGGGCUUAGGCUGGGCUCGGAGAAUUUAGAGAUAGGAAAAGAGCCACGUACCAUAUAGAUUUUAUGAAUUCAAGGACCAUUGCUUUUCCGUCAUUUAGUGAUGCCCAGACUCUAGAUGAGGCCAUUUUGCAGUUAGCUCGGUGCCAACGGCACUAGACGAUCAUGUCCUGUGUUGCCAUGGUGCAGCUGGCAUCCAUGUAGCAAACAAAAUACUCCCUCUGUAAACUAAUAUAAGAGCGUUUAGAUCACUAUUUUGGUAUUCUAAACGCUUUUAUAUUAGUUUACGGAGGGAGUAACAAAGUACAGGGAAUCUACUGGAAAAACUGAGGUCAGGACAUUGCAAAAUUGGUAGAUGCGCCUACUAAGAGAGCGGAAAUUUUACUUUUGCCCGUUUCGCCUUGGUAGUUUUGUUUUGGACAGUACCAUACAUAGUUUGCCCUGUGCUACAAAUUACGGUUAGUUAGUAGUAGAUAAAGAACGUGAAGAUUGGUGCAAGCAGGAGUUACUGAAAGUAAAGGGUGACAAUUUUCGUGUGAAGAUUUUGCCCCCCAACAGGGCAGCCUCCUGUUACUCCUUUUUGUCACUACUCCAAUUCUACAGCUUUAAUUCUGUGGCAGUAACUUCACUUGUUCAUUGCCAGCCACAACACGAGCAUAUGUCAGAUAUAGUGUAGAGGACCACACUACAUAGCUGGCUGGCGAGAUUCUUCAGUUGCUCAACUGAAAAUGUAGGAGUAGCAGGUAUCCUAUUGCUUCAUACUGAUCAACAGUGUUUGUUGCUAUCCUAGAAGAAUUGUCACUGUUAUAGACGGACAGAUCCGUGAACUGUACUGCAAAUGCCAGCGCAGUUCAUGCGCCGAUCCCGAUCCCGGCUGGACCAUUUUCUGUUUCACCCUAUUAGAAUCCAAAAGAUUUAGGUAAGAUACGUCUGAAUUUUGUUAGCAGGAGAUUUGGUCGUUGGCACAACAGUUGUUUCAGUUCAGAGGCAGUAACUUUUCCUUGUCAUUUGCCUGGGACCUUACUUGCUUACCAUGCGAGUUUCAUCGGUUUUCAGUUAAUUCAUUCAUGUGGUGGUGUUCUUGACCAUGAAUGAUCUCACAGGGGCGGCGAGAACCUCUGCGACUGCGCGGGGCCCGACGAAGAAGAGAUGGUACCGCGCUCGAGGUGCCUGCCCCGGACGCCGAUACUGUCAUCCUUGCUGCACCCGAAGAGUGAGAUGCAGAAGUCCCCGGUGUCGGACUGCCGGAGGAGCUCCUCGGCCGGGCCGGACUCGAUAGACGGCGGGAGCAGGCGGUUCACCGACGCGUCGUCGAGGGUAGAGUCCUUCAGGAAGGAGAACAAGGAGAAGCUCGUCAAGAUCGAGGAAAGUUAAGUGCUCCAACUUUUUGUCACUGCACUGGGUAUGCACUCGAUGCUUUGAAAUAUUCCCUUUGCAACAUAUCGAAUAUCCCGCACGAUAUGCGAUGAUGGUAUUGAGGUUUUUGUUGUGGAUUGUGUGCGCAGGUUGUCGUCGGGAGCUCGCGUCGUGAUCCAGUGCACCGUGCCCUGCGACGACGGUGACGAAGAUGCAUUCUGAAGCCUCCUGGACUUGCAGCUGACCUGGCCGCGUGACGUGGCGUUCUCUUUGCUUCUUUAGAUGAUGAAUGAGUUACUGACGAAUUUGUGUUUUCUUUCUUGAGAUGUGUAGUAUGUUAGCUUUAUUCUUCAGGUGUAAUGUAUUUUUUUUGUCUGUUCUUUGGUUUGGUUGAAAUUUUGUCCUUGUUAUCAGUUGUAGUAAGUGCCUGUUAAUGCCAUUUUGUGCUCGUUAUUAGUUGGGUAAGUGCCUGUUAAUGCCAAAGCUUUAUGGUUUAAUCUGUGCUUACCAGAAUUAUGUGCGUUGAUAGGUGUUUUUUGCAUUAAAAAACUCACUAGAAACAGGAAAUGCAUGUUUAACUUUUCUUCAGCAUAAGAAAUGCAUGUGUAUUAGGAGUAGUUUUUUAUAGAAUGGCUAAUUAUAUUGAUAAAAAAGUGUAAUAUUUGGUACAAUAAUAAGUAGACCGAAGAAAACACGAAUCAGUAAGUAAAAGUGAAAGUUAUGUCAUUAGGCCAAACCUCUACAGAAGUUUUCUCGUUGUUGCUUUGAAGAAAAAUGAAAUGAUCCUGUAAGUUUUUUUUUUGAGAGCAUGAUCCCGUAAGUUUUCUCAGCACAGGAAAUGUACUUCUUUUUUAGACAAGCACAGGAAAUGUACUUGUAAGUGUGAUUUUGAGUUUUUGAUAUACAUGCGCUUUUAAGGGGAGCAACUAGUUAACAAGCGCUCCUUCGGGAGCCUUGCAACGAUCAGCGUCACUUGGCGCGCUCUCAGCCAUUCGCCACGUGUCGCGCUCUGGACGCUUCCUUCGGAUUUUGUUUUUUUUUUAAAAAAAUCGCACGCGUUUUCGGCUUUUUAAACGGUUUUUUCCGGGGUUUUUCGAUGUUUUGGUUUCUCCCCGGUCUUUCUUAGCUUUUCGAUAAAAAAAUCGAUUUUUUUUCACGAAAAAACGCGUUUUCUUUUUUUUUCUUUCGUGAAAGUCACGGUUUUUCUUCCGCGAGAGGCACGGUUGUGCUUUAGCGAGAGUCACAGCCGUGCCUCUCGGAAAUGAAAAAAAAGUGUUUUCUGUUUUUUUUCUUUCGCGAGAGUCCCGGUUUUGCUUUCGCGAGAGGCACGGUUGUGCUUUCGCGGGAGUCACGGCCGUGCCUCUCGGAAAGGGAAAAACAAAACGCGUUUUCUGUUUUUUUUNNNNNNNNNNNNNNNNNNNNNNNNNNNNNNNNNNNNNNNNNNNNNNNNNNNNNNNNNNNNNNNNNNNNNNNNNNNNNNNNNNNNNNNNNNNNNNNNNNNNNNNNNNNNNNNNNNNNNNNNNNNNNNNNNNNNNNNNNNNNNNNNNNNNNNNNNNNNNNNNNNNNNNNNNNNNNNNNNNNNNNNNNNNNNNNNNNNNNNNNNNNNNNNNNNNNNNNNNNNNNNNNNNNNNNNNNNNNNNNNNNNNNNNNNNNNNNNNNNNNNNNNNNNNNNNNNNNNNNNNNNNNNNNNNNNNNNNNNNNNNNNNNNNNNNNNNNNNNNNNNNNNNNNNNNNNNNNNNNNNNNNNNNNNNNNNNNNNNNNNNNNNNNNNNNNNUUUUUUCUUUCGCGAGAGUCACGGUUGUGCUUUCGCGAGAGUCACGGGCGUGCCUCUCGGAAACGAAAAAAAAAAA